CGACACUUACUGUGGCUCGGA
rnacentral:miRNA from 1 species